rnacentral:rRNA from 1 species
GUGGGGAAUCUUGCGCAAUGGGCGAAAGCCUGACGCAGCCAUGCCGCGUGAAUGAUGAAGGUCUUAGGAUUGUAAAAUUCUUUCACCGGGGACGAUAAUGACGGUACCCGGAGAAGAAGCUCCGGCUAACUUCGUGCCAGCAGCCGCGGUAAUACGAAGGGGGCUAGCGUUGCUCGGAAUUACUGGGCGUAAAGGGCGCGUAGGUGGACAGCUUAGUCAGAGGUGAAAGCCCAGGGCUCAACCUUGGAAUUGCCUUUGAUACUGGCUGUCUUGAGUUUGGGAGAGGUGAGUGGAACUCCGAGUGUAGAGGUGAAAUUCGUAGAUAUUCGGAAGAACACCAGUGGCGAAGGCGACUCACUGGCCCAAUACUGACGCUGAGGCGCGAAAGCGUGGGGAGCAAACAGGAUUAGAUACCCCGGUAGUCC